rnacentral:rRNA from 1 species
GACGAACGCUGGCGGCGUGCUUAACACAUGCAAGUCGAACGGAAAGGCCCUGCUUUUGUGGGGUGCUCGAGUGGCGAACGGGUGAGUAACACGUGAGUAACCUGCCCUUGACUUUGGGAUAACUUCAGGAAACUGGGGCUAAUACCGGAUAGGAGCUCCUGCUGCAUGGUGGGGGUUGGAAAGUUUCGGCGGUUGGGGAUGGACUCGCGGCUUAUCAGCUUGUUGGUGGGGUAGUGGCUUGCCAAGGCUUUGACGGGUAGCCGGCCUGAGAGGGUGACCGGCCACAUUGGGACUGAGAUACGGCCCAGACUCCUACGGGAGGCAGCGGUGGGGAAUAUUGCACAAUGGGCGGAAGCCUGAUGCAGCAACGCCGCGUGCGGGAUGACGGCCUUCGGGUUGUAAACCGCUUUCGCCUGUGACGAAGCGUGAGUGACGGUAAUGGGUAAAGAAGCACCGGCUAACUACGUG